CCGCAAACCAGAUUAUCGGUUUAGGUGUCGGUCGACACUAAGAAAGCGUGUGGUCGACACCAACGAGAGGUGUCCGUCGAGACCAAUUGACGGUGCUCCAUUGAAUGCUCUCAUUUCUUACGUCGUUUUGAUGUCUUAUGAAUCCUCUAGAAUUCUGAAAAAAAACACGAUUACAAAUACGUGACAUAUUGUGUUUGGUUCAUUUUAACUCUUGGGCUUCAAAAGCCUUGUAUUCAUCCUUGUAAUGUAGCCGUUUAGCCAAGACAAAAAAAUUGUGCCGACAAAUUAAAAGAAAAAGGAAAGGGAAACUUGUUUCUCAUCGACAAUCCGAUAAUCGAAUUGAAUCGUCUUAUUAGCAAUUUAUAUUCAAAUUCUCUUAUUGAUUUGACCGGCGGUUUCUAUGGCUCUUUGCUCUCUGACUCUGGUUGGUGGUUUACCGGAGCGUCGUCGUUAUGUGGUGGCAGGGAGAAUCUAGGCGGUUUGUCGUGACUUCUUUCUCCGGUUUGGUUUGUGGCUCUUAUGGGUCGGUAGUUGCGCCAGAGCUCUCCUCUUUUGGGGCUUGCUUCUGAGAUCUGGUUUCCUGGGGAUGCAUCGCCAUAUUACCAGAUCUCCUCUUCCUCCAUGGCGUUUUGUUGUGGACCCAAUUAGGAAAAAAGAUUUUAUUAUUGGAUGAGUCUUAUAUGGUUCUCUGCGUAAUCCAAAAAAAACUUGGUAGGCAAAUGGGACUGAUUGGCUACAGGAGUAUAUGGUUGGCGAGAGAUUCAGUAUAUUAAUCAGGAUCCGAACAGAAUUAAUCUGGGUGCUCCAGGAUCCGCGUGUCAAGCCUAUGGAAAGUUCCCCACUUGCCCUCUGCGUUUUUUUUAAUGGUCUCCAAAUUUUUUUUUCAAAAGGGCAUGAUGGUAUAAUCGUUUUUAUGUUUUUUUUUAAUCCUAAGUGUGCUUUCCAAUUAAUAGUACAGAUUAUUGAGUGCUUGAUUAAUAUAUUGUUAUUAUUAAAAAAACAAUCAAAUAAUGUUAUUUAAAACAAUCAAAUAA